rnacentral:lncRNA from 1 species
AUUUUGUUGACACAUUUUUUAAAGAGCUUUAAAUACUUUUGUCUAGUUCUUUAUAUAACCUAAAAACCCUCUUUCACUGGAUAACAAUAUUUUUCGUACAAUAAAAUCUAUACAGGGCUAUUAUAUACGAAAACAAGGAUUAUUAAAAGCCUUAGAUUGUGUAUGUACCAAUAUGUAAUUAUUGUUAUUUUUAUCAGUUGUCUAAACUGACUGGAUAAAAAUUUUAUUUGAACACAUUUUUGAAAAAGUUAAUGUAUGUGGGUAAUGGAAUACCGAUAUAAAAGAUAUUUUAUUGAAAAAUUCAGCCGACUUUUUAAAGUUGGAAGAAUGAUAGAUAAUAGACAAAAGAAACUGCAGCAAAAAAAUUACAACUGAGAAUGUUUAAAAGAUGCUACCGAAAUAAACAGAAAAUCAAAAAUAGUAUUGCUAAUAUGGCUAGUAAAGUUUGCCAGUCAAAAAAAACUUGAAUAGGUAGGAAUGAUUUAAGAAAUAUUGAGGUGCAAGAAGGGCCAGUGACGACAAAUUGAUAUAGAAAAUAUCAGAAUGAAGUUUUGUAUGUAAAAAAAUGAGACUUCAGAGGAAAAUAUUGAAUAAAGGAACAAUGAUGUUAUGUUAUACGAGAUUCUUGAUAUUAUCAAUUCCUUGCGACCAUAAAAGACUUUACCACAAACUGAAAACUACAUUUUCUUUAAUAUAAUAAUUAUAAAUAUUGCAUUAGAGUUUUUAUUUAGUUAAAACAAUUUUAGGCAACUGAUAUUCUUAAUUUCAAGCGACCAGAGAAUAAUUCAAAA